rnacentral:rRNA from 1 species
UACGGAGGAUGCAAGCGUUAUCCGGAAUGAUUGGGCGUAAGCGUCCGCAGGUGGCUGUGUAAGUCUGCUGUCAAAGAGCGAAGCUCAACUUCGUAAAGGCAGUGGAAACUACACGGCUAGAGUGCGUUCGGGGCAGAGGGAAUUCCUGGUGUAGCGGUGAAAUGCGUAGAGAUCAGGAAGAACACCGGUGGCGAAGGCGCUCUGCUAGGCCGCAACUGACACUGAGGGACGAAAGCUAGGGGAGCGAAUGGG